UGGCGGACGGGUGAGUAACACGUGGGUGAUCUGCCCUGCACUUCGGGAUAAGCUUGGGAAACUGGGUCUAAUACCGAAUAUGACCACUUCUUGGAUGUUGUGGUGGAAAGCUUUUGCGGUGUGGGAUGAGCCUGCGGCCUAUCAGCUUGUUGGUGGGGUAAUGGCCUACCAAGGCGGCGACGGGUAUCCGGCCUGAGAGGGUGUACGGACACAUUGGGACUGAGAUACGGCCCAGACUCCUACGGGAGGCAGCAGUGGGGAAUAUUGCACAAUGGGCGCAAGCCUGAUGCAGCGACGCCGCGUGGGGGAUGAAGGCCUUCGGGUUGUAAACUCCUUUCGCUAGGGACGAAGCUUUUUGUGACGGUACCUAGAUAAGAAGCACCGGCUAACUACGUGCCAGCAGCCGCGGUAAU
rnacentral:rRNA from 1 species